rnacentral:rRNA from 1 species
UACGGAGGGUGCUAGCGUUAAUCGGAUUUAUUGGGCGUAAAGUGUGUCAAGGUGGAGAGAUAAGUCAGACGUGAAAUCCCAGGGCUCAACCCUGGAACUGCAUUUGAAACUGUCUUUCUAGAGGGUAGGCGGAGAAAACAGAAUUCUGCAAGUAGCGGUGAAAUGCGUAGAUAUGCAGAAGAAUACCGGUGGCGAAGGCGGUUUUCUAGCUUAUUCCUGACACUGAAGCACGAAAGCAAGGGGAGCAAACAGG